rnacentral:rRNA from 1 species
UACGUAGGGUGCGAGCGUUAAUCGGAAUUACUGGGCGUAAAGCGUGCGCAGGCGGUUCGUUGUGUCGGUGGUGAAAGCCCCGGGCUUAACCUGGGAAUGGCCAUGGAAACUGGCGAACUGGAGUGUGGCAGAGGGGGGUGGAAUUCCUGGUGUAGCAGUGAAAUGCGUAGAUAUCAGGAGGAAUACCGAUGGCGAAGGCAGGUCUCUGGGCUAACACUGACGCUCAUGCACGAAAGCGUGGGGAGCAAACAGG